CCUACGUGUGGCAGCAGUGGGGAAUAUUGGGCAAUGGGCGCAAGCCUGACCCAGCAACGCCGCGUGAAGGAAGAAGGCUUUCGGGUUGUAAACUUCUUUUGACAGGGAAGAGUAGAAGACGGUACCUGUCGAAUAAGCCACGGCUAACUACGUGCCAGCAGCCGCGGUAAUACGUAGGGGGCAAGCGUUAUCCGGAUUUACUGGGUGUAAAGGGGGCGCAGACGGCAAUGCAAGCCAGGAGUGAAAGCCCGGGGCCCAACCCCGGGACUGCUCUUGGAACUGCAUGGCUGGAGUACAGGAGGGGCAGGCGGAAUUCCUAGUGUAGCGGUGAAAUGCGUAGAUAUUGCGCAGAACUCCGAUUGCGAAGGCAGCAUGCCGGCUCCACACUGACGCUGAGGCACGAAAGCGUGGGUAUCGAACAGGAUUAGAUACCCUUGUAGUC
rnacentral:rRNA from 1 species